AAGCAAUAGUUUCCUUUUCUUUCUUCCAUUGCCUUAAAGUUAAAAACUUCAUUCCAUACAUAUUGAGAUGGAAUCAUCUUGGACCCAAAGGCAAAACAAAGAAUUUGAAAAAGCCCUGGCUAAGUAUGAUAUAGAAACCCCAGAUAGGUGGCAGAAUAUUGCCAACGAGGUGGGAAAAUCAGUGGAGGAGGUUAAAAGGCAAUUUGAGAUCCUCAAAGAAGAUGUCAGACGCAUUGAGCGUGGUCAAGUGCCAUUCCCCUACAGAACAAACAAUUCUAACACUAAUUAAGCCAUUGCUGUCAAAAAACACAGAUCAUGAUCCAGGGUCCAACAAAAUUGAAGACCGGCGACGAUUAUAAUCGUAUCUAAAUAAAUGAAAGUAUUAUCAGCAGUGAACUGUAGAAAUCUAACUGUAAGCAACCGUGUGUGAUUGCUAUAGUUUUUUAGCACUAGUGUCGAACGUAAAAGAAAAAAAAAAGUAUGGAGUAGAUGCAUUUACGAAUUAAUCACGUUUGUAAACCGGUACUACUGAUUAUUAAUAAGUAUAUAAUUUGUCUACCUACUCC